UGGUGAUGCCUGUGCACUGGUCCUAGACAUUUGACCUGUCUGUCGGUCGGUCGGUCGGUCGGUCGGUCGGUCUGUCGGUCUGUCUGUCU
rnacentral:miRNA from 14 species